rnacentral:rRNA from 1 species
AUUGAACGCUGGCGGCAGGCCUAACACAUGCAAGUCGAACGAAUGGCGGACGGGUGAGUAAUGUAUGGGAAACUGCCUGAUGGAGGCGGAUAACUACUGGAAACGGUGGCUACUACCGCAUACCAUCAGAUGUGCCCAGAUGGGCUUAGCUAGUUGGUGGGGUAACGGCUCACCAAGGCGACGAUCCCUAGCUGGUCUGAGAGGAUGACCGGCCACACUGGAACUGAGACACGGCCCAGACUCCUACGGGAGGCAGCAGUGGGGAAUAUUGCGCAAUGGGCGCAAGCCUGAUGCAGCCAUGCCGCGUGUAUGAAGAAGGCCUUCGGGUUGUAAAGUACUUUCAUCGGGGAGGCGUUACCCGCAGAAGAAGCACCGGCUAACUCCGUGCCAGCAGCCGCGGUAAUAC